UUACUUUGAUUUACUUAACGUUUUUUUAAUUUUUUCUCCUUUUGUUCCAUCUUUGUGCUGCCGGUGCUGCUUGCACUGCUGGCUUUGGAGCAUGACCUUUAAUUGUCGUGCUGUACAUUGUGCCAUGGGCGUCUUGGUAGGUCCGUCGCAGAUCGAGAUGGAGAUCGAAUUGGAGAGUGGAGUCGAGGAAGCUGGACCAUCGAGCAUCACAAAUGCCUGCAAUUGAACUUCAAAUCCGAUUUGGCUGCUGCCUGUGUCAAUGAUAUGGCAGAGCUGACCGCACGCCGGACGCGAACGUGAUCAUCAUCGCUCAGUAGACUCUGCGAACUCCGCUGGCCUUGCUGCAUUGUUGGUUUGACAAAUUUGUAGCAACUAGCAGCUAGUCGACGAGUUUUCCACUUUGCUUGUGACCACCGGAUGCGGCUAUCAUUCGAGUUUCUUCUUUGGUCGUUUGGGGCACAGAUGUUUACCUUUCCUCUUAGCACUUUGCACGUUGAACUUGUGCGUAUACGCAAUAAUUUCCAUAUGACUCGCCCGUUAUCAAUUAUGCGCGUCGUAAAGCUCUUCACUGGAACCAAAAACCGGGGACCUUGUCAAAUAAUCAGCUCUACGAGAGGAGAACUGCCUGAGUAACGACUCCAACUAUUGGCAUGAAUUAUGUGGAAUUGCACCAAUUUGGCAAUUAAACAUGUGUAGUCCCCGAGUGGGUGGAAAGCAGGGGGUUUUUAAGUCAAACAGAGACAGAAAGAGAGAGAGACAGAGGCAGAGAAGAUUCAGUGAGCAUAAAUGGCAGAUACAAAUGUUUGUAGCCGCUAUAGAGGCUCACCGACCUUCAAUGGAAUCACAGCCCGAGAUGAUGAUGAUGACACACCUAUGUACAUACGUAUUUUGGUGUGUAAAUUCUGCUGUGGGUCCCACACCUUCUCACUGUUCUUUUUGCCAUGACUGGAGUGAACCCCUUUGACAUCGCAGCUAAUUGCACAAACGAGCAGAGCAGGGCAGCUGAGAAUCGAAUUCCAAGUUCGUGAUAUGUAAGAAUUAAAAGUCAAAGAAUGUCGAUCACGGGUACCCAGAACUCCCACACCGACUUCAAAUUAAUUUUUGGCGGCUCCACAAUGCAUUAUCAUCUCAUCAAGCAGUCGUUAGUCACAAUGUCUUGCAAACCU